rnacentral:lncRNA from 1 species
UUAUGCUAAGAAAUGAAGUUAGUAGAGCGGAAUGUCAGACAUGAUUUGCUGAGUUGUAGACUAGUAGAAUUUGGUUGCUAAGCUAGGAUAUUGGAUAAUGUGCUUUUGUGAUUAGGACUUUUUAGAUGUGGUUUGCGAAAUUUUAGAGGUGAUGACUUCUAUGUUUUAAAUCUGUAAAUCCCUGCUGUUUUCAAACCUCUUUCAGAGAGACUGCCUAUUUGUUUUGCUUGAGGACAAGCAAAAG